GCCUGAAUGGCUCAGUCGGUUGAGCAUCUGACUUGGACUCAGGUCACGAUCUCACAGCUCGUGAGUUCGAGCCCCACAUUGGGCU
rnacentral:tRNA from 1 species